rnacentral:rRNA from 1 species
CAUGUCUUUUUGAAAAUAAUAUAAAGUCUAAUCUGCCCACUGAAUUGUUUUAAAGGGCCGCAGUAAUCUGACUGUGCAAAGGUAGCAUAAUCAUUUGUCUCUUAAUUAGAGGCUGGUAUGAAUGAUUGAACGAGGUAAAAACUGUCUCAUUAUUAAAAUUAUAAAAAUUUAGCUUUUUAGUUAAAAGGCUAAAAUUUUUUUGGAGGACAAGAAGACCCUAUAGAUCUUUAUAAUAAGAAAAAAUUUUUUGAUUUGGAUUAAAAAUUCCUAAAAGUUUUUUUAUAUUAUUUUGUUGGGGUGACAUGAAAAUUAACUAAACUUUUCAUUUUGGGAACAUAAAUUAAUGAUUAAAUGUUCCAUUACUAUUGAUUAUAAGAAUAAGUUACCUUAGGGAUAACAGCGUAAUUUUAUUGGAGAGUUCAUAUUGAUAAUAAAGUUUGCGACCUC